rnacentral:rRNA from 1 species
AGUCGAACGGAAAGGCCCUUCGGGGUGCUCGAGUGGCGAACGGGUGAGUAACACGUGGGUGAUCUGCCCUGCACUUCGGGAUAAGCCUGGGAAACUGGGUCUAAUACCGGAUAGGACCGCAUGCUUCAUGGUGUGUGGUGGAAAGCUUUUGCGGUGUGGGAUGGGCCCGCG